AUAACAAUACAGGACUCUUUCGAGGCCCUGUAAUUGGAAUGAGUACACUUUAAAUCCUUUAACGAGGAUCUAUUGAAGGGCAAGUCUGGUGUAGAGUGACUGACCCGUGCAUGCUGCAGCUGAAA